rnacentral:tRNA from 1 species
GCCUCUGUAGCUCAGUUGGUUAGAGCGCUGCACCGGAAUUGCAGGGCAACAGAUUCGAUUCCUGUCAGGGACC